rnacentral:rRNA from 1 species
UGAGUACGAGACGCUAAGGCGUCGAAGUAGUGGAUGUCAUACUUCCAAGAAAAGCUUGCACUGUCAUAGAUAAAAAACGCCUGUACCAUAACCGACACAGGUGGGUAGGUAGAGUAUACUAAGGGGCGCGAGAUAACUCUCUCUAAGGAACUCGGCAAAAUAACUCCGUAACUUCGGGGGAAGGAGUGCCUUAUUCGUAAGGCUGCAAUAACAAGAUCCAAGCAACUGUUUAUCAAAAACACAGGUCUCCGCUAAGUCGUAAGACGAUGUAUGGGGGCUGACGCCUGCCCAGUGCCAGAAGGUUAAAGAAGUCGGUUAGCAUUAGCGAAGCUGGUAACUGAAGCCCUGGUGAACGGCGGCCGUAACAAUAACGGUCCUAAGGUAGCGAAAUUCCUUGUCGGGUAAGUUCCGACCCGCACGAAAGGCGUAAUGAUUUGGAUACUGUCUCGGAGAGGGGCUCGGUGAAAUAGACUUGUCUGUGAAGAUGCGGACUACCUGCACCAGGACAGAAAGACCCUAUGAAGCUUUACUGUAACUUGAAAUUGAAAUUGGACUUUAUUCGCGCAGUAUAGGUGUGAGGUGUUGAUUAUAAUCUUGCGGGAUUAUUGGAGCCAUCAGUGAGAUACCACUCUUGUAAUGUUAGAUUUCUAACUUUGAAUCAUUAUCUGGUCAAAGAACAGUUUCAGGCGGGCAGUUUGACUAGGGCGGUCGCCUCCUAAAUGGUAACGGAGGCGUACAAAGGUUUCCUCUGAACGGGUAGAAAUCGUAUCUAGAGUGUAAAGGCAUAAGGAAGCUUGACUGUGAGACCUACAAGUCGAGCAGGGACGAAAGUCGGUCUUAGUGAUCUGACGGUACUGAGUGGAAAGGCCGUCACUCAACGGAUAAAAGUUACUCUAAGGAUAACAGGCUGAUCUCCCCCAAGAGUUCACAUCGACGGGGAGGUUUGGCACCUCGAUGUCGGCUCAUCGCAUCCUGGGGCGGUAGUACGUCCCAAGGGUUGGGCUGUUCGCCCAUGAAAGCGGUACGCGAGCUGGGUUCAGAACGUCGUGAGACAGUUCGGUCCAUAUCCGGUGUAGGCGUUAGAAUAUUGAGAGGAGCCUUCUUUAGUACGAGAGGACCGAGAAGGACAUACCUCUGGUGUACCAGUUAUCGUGCCAACGGUAAACGCUGGGUAGCUAUGUAUGGAGUGGAUAACCGCUGAAAGCAUCUAAGUGGGAAGCCCACCUCAAGAUAAGUAUUCUCA